AUUGAACGCUGGCGGCAGGCCUAACACAUGCAAGUCGAGCGGUUGAAGGAAGCUUGCUUCCUGAUUCAGCGGCGGACGGGUGAGUAAUGCCUAGGAAUCUGCCUGGUAGUGGGGGACAACGUUUCGAAAGGAACGCUAAUACCGCAUACGUCCUACGGGAGAAAGCAGGGGACCUUCGGGCCUUGCGCUAUCAGAUGAGCCUAGGUCGGAUUAGCUAGUUGGUGAGGUAAUGGCUCACCAAGGCGACGAUCCGUAACUGGUCUGAGAGGAUGAUCAGUCACACUGGAACUGAGACACGGUCCAGACUCCUACGGGAGGCAGCAGUGGGGAAUAUUGGACAAUGGGCGAAAGCCUGAUCCAGCCAUGCCGCGUGUGUGAAGAAGGUCUUCGGAUUGUAAAGCACUUUAAGUUGGGAGGAAGGG
rnacentral:rRNA from 1 species